rnacentral:lncRNA from 1 species
ACACUCUUGGAUUUACAUGUGCCAACUCCAGACACUACACCUCCAAAUACCUGGAACGAUGAGCUUCGAUUUGCAUAUGGCUUUACUCCUAAGACUCGAUCAGCGGGCCUCACUUCAAGAGCUGAUGUAGUCGUAGGCAAAGGUAGCUCCAACAUCUUCAAGCCUUCUCUCACGAGCACCAGGCAACUAGGAUGGACUGGUCUUCUAGUACACCCCCUAGCCACUCUUUGCUGGUGUUCGUGAG